ACACUUUUGAACGUUUUUCAGAAAUAAGAUGUUCAUUUGAAAAAAGAAAUUAAAUUUCUGUUUCAACCAUAUCCUAGUAAAUGACUUGAAUAAAUCAUAAUCCGUUUUCGUAUUAUAAAUCCGUCGAACAGAAUAUCCUACAGUUUUGUCUGGCUUUUGGGUCUAAAUCGACUAAAAAAUAAGUACACCAUUAUCAAUUUCCAUUAAGUCUG